rnacentral:rRNA from 1 species
UACGGAGGUUGCAAGCGUUGUUCGGAAUAACUGGGCGUAAAGGGCGCGCAGGCGGCUUGGUAAGUCUAAAGUGAAAUUCCAGGGCUCAACCCUGGACGUGCUUUGGAUACUGCCUGGCUUGAGUACGUGAGAGGAGAUUGGAAUUCCAGGUGUAGCGGUGAAAUGCGUAGAUAUCUGGAGGAACACCGGUGGCGAAAGCGGAUCUCUGGCACGUUACUGACGCUGAGGCUCGAAAGCGUGGGGAGCAAACAGG